ensembl:lncRNA
CGUCUCUACUAAAAAUACAAAAAAUUAGCUGGGCGUGGUGGUGGGCGCCUGUAAUCCCCGCUACUCAGGAGGCUGAGGUAGGAGAAUUGCUUGAACCUGGGAGGCAGAGGUUGCAGUGAGCCAAGAUCACACCAUUGCACUCCAGUCUGGGUGAUAAGUGAAAUGCCAUCUCUAAAACAAAACAAAAACCUAAUUCCCCAAGAACUGUCACUCUUUCUCCUGUCUGCUAGCUCCCAGGCAGACCCCACUUGCCAGGGCUGUCUACAUUUGUCCUGAGAUCUCUUCUGGUGGGAACAGCAUUUUCUCAGGAAGGUUUGUUGAAAGUCAUCAGAUCCAUGGUUGAAAAUCGAAGCUGCCUGUGGUGAUGGAUAACAGCUGGGGUUACAAAGCAGCAGCUGGGGCAUGAGCUGCCCACAGUGAGUUUUUGUUGUUGUUUUUUUUUUUUGGGUGAGGGAUGGGGUCUUGCUAGGUCUCAAACUCCUGGCCUCAAGUGAUCCUCCCAUUACAGUCUCCUGAGUCACUGACACUACAGGUGUGAGCCACCAUGUCCAGCUUGUAGUGGUUUUGAACAGCUCUUGCCCCUUCUUGGGAAUCUAGGUGCCCUGCACGUGUGUAAGGCUGUCUGCAGCUGUGCCCAUAUUCAGGAAGGCCGGCAAGGCCCUGAGCCCUCACCCGUGACUGACCUGAGGUGCUGUGCAGACAGCACGUGACGGCUAAGGGAAAGUUGAGCACUGCCUAGCCGAGCGCUGAAGCCAUGCCCGGCACACACUCGGCAAAGACUUCAUUUCCAGGCACCUAAGGAACUCUCUGACCAGUCAUUAGCUGACCACUGCCGUAACUGAAGAGAGGCUUCAGUGGCCACACCUCGCAGGCAAUGGAGACAUUAAUGCUUAGUCAGAAUUAGUUCAGGAAAGUCACCCAGCAAAGAAACAGCUCCAACAGGCAACAACAACAACACACCCUGGGCAGGGAAGAGAAUCUGACUUCCGGAGUUGCCACAUUAUCGCCCGUGAAAUGUCCAGGUUUUAACAACAAAUUAUGAGACAUGGAAAGGAACCCGAAAGGACGGCGUAGACACGGGAAAAGCCACCAAUGGGACCAGUACCUGAUGCUGCAAUUGCUAGACAAAAACGUUCAAUCAGCUCAUUUAAAUAUGUUCAAAGACAUAAAACAUGUUGCAUCUAAGGUUGCACCGCCUGGAACCUGCUGAUCUCGGAAGCUAAGCAUGGUCAGGCCUCGCUAGUACUUCAAAGGGAGAAACUACGUGUAGGCCUGGUGCGGUGGCUCACACCUAUAAUCCUAGCACUCUGGGAAGCUGAGGCAGGUGGAUUGCUUGAGCCCAGGAGUUUGAGAGCAGCUUGGGAAAUGUGGUGAGACCCCCAUCUCUACAAAAAAUUUAAAAAAUUAGCUGGCUGCCUAUGGUCCCAGCCUCUCAGGAUGCUGAGGUAGGAGGAUCACUUCAGCCCAGGAAGUUGAGGCUGCAGUGAGCCAUGAUUGCACCACUGCACUCCAGCUUGGGCGACAGAGAGACCCUCUCCCAAGAAAAAGAAAAGAACCAUGUCAAAAGAACUAAGGAAAGUGUGGGAACAAUGUCUUACCAAUUAGAGAAUAUCAAUAAUGAGAUAAACCUUAUAAAAAGGGGCUAGGCAUGGUGGCUCAUGCCUAUAAUCCCAGCACUUUGGGAGGCUGAGGCAGGCAGAUCACGAGGUCAAGAGAUUGAGACCAGCCUGGCCAACAUGGUGAAACCCCACCUCUAUUUAAAAUACAAAAAUUAGCCGAGCAUGGUGGCGCAUGCCUAUAAUCCCAGCUACUCAGGAGGCUGAGGCAGGAGAAUCGCUUGAACCCGGGAGCUGGAGAUUGCAGUAAGCCGAGAUUGCACCACUGCACUACAGCCUGGGCAACAAAGUGAUACUCCAAAAAACAAAAAAAAAACAAAAAGUUGUAAAAAGGAACCAAAUAAAAAUUCUGGAGUUGUAGGGUAAAAUAACUGAAAUGAAAAUUCAUCCCAGGGGCCCAAGAGCAGAUUAGAACAAUUGGAAGAAAGAGCCUGUGACUAUGGAGAGAGGCCACCUGAGGUAGUCCCCUCUGAGGAACAGGAACAAGAAUGAAGAGCAAUGCACAGAGAUCCAGAGACCUGGAGACGCCGUCAAGCUUUCCGACAUACACGCAAUGGGAGUCCCAGGAAAGAAGACAGGGAGAAAGGAGUAAAGGAAUAGUUGAAGAAUUAAUGGCUGAAAACCUCCCACAUUUGAUGAAAAACAUUAAUCUGUACAUCCAAAAAGCUCAACAAACUCCAAGUAGGGUAAACUCAAAGAGAUCUUCAGCCAUACGCAUCAUCAUAAUCACUGUCAAAAGACAGAUUUUUCUUUUUUUAGAAUUUUAAAUGUACCUUUUAAUUUGCUCCUGGGGCAAAGAGCCAGGAUUGGUACUAGAGCAGUGUCUGGGAUGAAAAGAAUUUAAUAAAAUGGGAUUAGGUCCAACGGUUGGGUUAGGGGAGGCAACCUGCUCGGGAGGAUCAGCCUCAACCUAUCCAUGCAGCAGGGCCUCCACCUGUCCCUCUCCGUAGUCCCACACCUGGAACCCAGAACCAUCUGCUGCUCCCCAGAUCAUGGCCGACAGCACUCUGCCAGACUGCGGCUGGAGCAGGCACAGGAUUCACUUAUUGAGGGCUGUGGCCUGGCCCAGUUCAUAGCCUAUACCCAGGGACAGUUGUGUCACUCCUGCCACGACCACAUCUGCCUUCUGCAGCCACGUCAAGUACCACUCAUGGAUGAGCCUGUCACCCCCAGCGGACUUAUCAACCCCGCGUCCAGCUCCACAGCUGCCAAGUGCUCGGUGAGCACUGGCUCCAAGCAUGGCAGCCGCCACACGAUCCACCUGUACAGGGCCCGGUCCUCCUGUCCUCAGUGGAUGACCCCAUAGAAGUCCAGGGCCCGGCGGCUGCCCUCCCACAAAAGACAGGAUUUUGAAAGCAGCAAGAGAGAAGAGACAUAUCAGGUAGUCACAGUGGCUCAGGCCUCCCAGCACUUUGGGAGGCCCAGGUGGGAGGAUCGCUUCACCCCAGGAGUUCAAGACCAACCUGGACAGUUUGGAAGAACCCAGUCUCUACAAAAAAUACAAAAUUAGCUGGGGCUGGGUGCGGUGGUUCAUGCCUAUAAUCCCAGCACUUUGGGAGGCUGAAUCACCUGAAGUCAGGCAUUCAACACUAGCCUGGCCAACAUGGUGAAACCGUAUCUCUACUGAAAAUACAAAAAGCCAGACGUGGUGGCACACACCUGUAAUUCCAGCUACUUAGGAGGCUGAGGCAGGAGAAUUGCUUGAAGCCUAGAGGUGGAGGUUGUAGUGAGCAGAGGUUGCAUCAUUGCACAAUGGAGGGGAGCCGCCAGCCUGGGCAACAACAGCAAAUCUCCGGCUCCCAAAAAAAAAAAAAAAAAAAAAA